AACGAACGCUGGCGGCAUGCCUAACACAUGCAAGUCGAACGAGACCUUCGGGUCUAGUGGCGCACGGGUGCGUAACGCGUGGGAAUCUGCCCUUUGCUUCGGAAUAACAGUUAGAAAUGACUGCUAAUACCGGAUGAUGUCUUCGGACCAAAGAUUUAUCGGCAAAGGAUGAGCCCGCGUAGGAUUAGGUAGUUGGUGGGGUAAAGGCCUACCAAGCCGACGAUCCUUAGCUGGUCUGAGAGGAUGAUCAGCCACACUGGGACUGAGACACGGCCCAGACUCCUACGGGAGGCAGCAGUGGGGAAUAUUGGACAAUGGGCGAAAGCCUGAUCCAGCAAUGCCGCGUGAGUGAUGAAGGGCCUUCGGUCGGUAAAGCUCUUUUACCUAGGGAGUGAUAAUAGACAGUAU
rnacentral:rRNA from 1 species